AUACGGAGGGUGCGAGCGUUACUCGGAGUCACUGGGCGUAAAGCGUCCAUAGGCGGUCGGGUAAGUCGGGUGUGAAAGCCCCGGGCUCAACCUGGGAAGUGCACCCGAUACUGCUCGACUCGAGUGCGGGAGAGGAUGGCGGAAUUCCCGGUGUAGCGGUGAAAUGCGUAGAGAUCGGGAGGAACACCAGUGGCGAAGGCGGCCAUCUGGCCCGCAACUGACGCUGAGGGACGAAAGCGUGGGGAGCAAACAGGAUUAGAUACCCUAGUAGUCC
rnacentral:rRNA from 1 species